GAAGAAGGCAGGCAGAGUUCUCUGCAACAGCAGAUCCUCUGUGCAGACCAUCCAGCACAGCUUUUGCCAGAUACGGCAUUUACCAGAAUCCCAGACUAGUUCCCCCCUCCACAGGUGUAUUGCUACAGGAAAUCAGGAGCUCGCCUUGAAUCCAGAGCCCUGAAUCCAGAGCCCGGUUCCUUUCGAGUCAAUGCAGGAGGACAAAAGAAGCGUGCAGAGAGAAGAGGAACUGUUUCCAACCACGUCUGCCACCUGACAAGACAAAUGCCGUCGUUUUGUGGGUGGGAUCUGGUGGUUUGUCAGUGGCUCCGUUAUUCCGCCUUCCUUUCCAAAAAGCAGAACGUCCUAGGCCUACAUUCUGGCUGCCAAAUAUGCGGAGGGAGGAAACCCCCGUCUUUAAAAUAUUUUUUACAGGAGACUUUGUGUGAGAUCAAGAGGCGCACCCCGUCAGCUUCA